rnacentral:rRNA from 1 species
CCGUUUCGACGGCCGCCGGGGAGGCCUUGCGCCCCCGGGCCCGCGCCCGCCGAAGACCCCAACAUGAACGCUGUUCUGAAAGUAUGCAGUCUGAGUUGAUUAUCGUAAUCAGUUAAAACUUUCAACAACGGAUCUCUUGGUUCCGGCAUCGAUGAAGAACGCAGCGAAAUGCGAUAAGUAAUGUGAAUUGCAGAAUUCAGUGAAUCAUCGAGUCUUUGAACGCACAUUGCGCCCCCUGGUAUUCCGGGGGGCAUGCCUGUCCGAGCGUCAUUGCUGCCCUCAAGCACGGCUUGUGUGUUGGGCCCCCGUCCCCCUCUCCCGGGGGACGGGCCCGAAAGGCAGCGGCGGCACCGCGUCCGGUCCUCGAGCGUAUGGGGCUUUGUCACCUGCUCUGUAGGCCCGGCCGGCGCCAGCCGACACCCAACUUUAUUUUUCUAAGGUUGACCUCGGAUCAGGUAGGGAUACCCGCUGAACUUAAGCAUAUC